UGGGGAAUAUUGGACAAUGGGCGAAAGCCUGAUCCAGCAAUGCCGCGUGUGUGAAGAAGGCCUUCGGGUUGUAAAGCACUUUCGGUGGGGAAGAAAUACUUAAGGCUAAUAUCCUUAAGGGCUGACGUUACCCACAGAAGAAGCACUGGCUAACUCUGUGCCAGCAGCCGCGGUAAUACAGAGAGUGCAAGCGUUAAUCGGAAUUACUGGGCGUAAAGCGCGCGUAGGUGGAUAUUUAAGUCGGAUGUGAAAUACCUGGGCUUAACCUGGGAAUUGCAUUCGAUACUGAAUGUCUAGAGUAUGGUAGAGGGAAGUGGAAUUUCCGGUGUAGCGGUGAAAUGCGUAGAUAUCGGAAAGAACACCAGUGGCGAAGGCGACUUCCUGGACCAAUACUGACACUUUAGCGCGAAAGCGUGGGGAGCAAACAGG
rnacentral:rRNA from 1 species